UCCCUUGGUAGUCCAGUGGUUAGGACUCCGUGCUGUCACUGCUGAGGGCCCAGGUUCGAUCCCUGGUCAGGGAA